GGAAAUAGGAUAGUACUUAAAUAUUUAAGAGAAACAUUGGUAUAGAAGUAUAUUUUGAACUGAAUUAUAUUUAAAGUGAUAACUUACAUAAUUUGUUUUUUAAAUCUUUUUGACUGAGAUAUUCCUUUAUAUUACUAAAUCGUAUUUCUCUCUCCCUCUCACCCACCCCACCUCAUAGUAUAUGCUGGCUUUAAUAUACACAAAUGAUUUUACAGACGUAGCAAAAAUACCUUAGAUGGAGUGUCAAUAAAUUAUUCAGAAUUUCAUAGCUUUGGUUUUGUAUUCAAUUCCUAAUAAAGAGUAAAACUAGUAAGAGCCUAGAACAUGGAGGUAAUUCGGUAUUAUUUAACAUAAAUUCUGCCACUAUAGAGAGUACUGAGUGGCUUACAAUUCUUAUCUUUUUAAAAAGACUAAAUUUACAAUGCUGUCUUCAAGAUUUCUGAGAUGGAAAGCCUAUCCUUGAUUAAACUUUUGGUCCUGUUAUUUUGGUCGUUUUUAAAACGUCCUGUUUUACCACCAAGAUUAUUAUGAAUUCCUAACCGUACUUCACUUUUUCCUGUCCUUUCUGCAAUAGCACUGCCCAGCUCUUGCUGGUUAUUUUUGAGGUGUGGCUCUAUGCUGACUCAUGACUCUAGUUCCUUCCUGCUGACUGCUGGAUAGAAGCCUCUCGUCUGCAUUUACUACCAAUGGGUACAGCAGAGUGUUGGUCACUGCAUGCCUGAAAUAAUAUGGCUAAGAAGAGUGACUGCCAGGGGCAGGGAACUCAUGGCCAGCCCGUUUAGUUCCCCUACGGGAUUCCUUCCAGAGUGCAGCCACCAAAGGACAGUGGCCACUGUAUUGGACAGCACAGAUUGAAAACAUCUCCAAGACUGCAGAAAGUUCUACGGGAUGCACUGCUCUAGGAGGUAAACAACAUAAAGGUCGAGAAACUUUUAUCCACCAUGUUGUUUAUGCCAUGGAGACAGCUUGUCAUACACUGAAUUCUCUGAAACAGCAAGCAAAAAUAAACCUCUCCUCCUUUAAAAUACAAUUUAAGCAGAUUCUACAGAAUCAUCAAAUGAAGAGGCGUCCACAUAUUUUGUCUCAGCUGGAGGAAGUGGUGCCUUGGCUUUUGUUUUUCUCCUAAAAUAAAAAUAAAAUGCAGAAAAUAAAAUAAAAUUAUAUAUACAUACAUAUAUUCCUAGAUAUGAUUUUAUAAAACUCCCAAAGAUAUGUAUAUAAUUUUCACAUUUGCAAACAGCACAAUAUUAACUGUUGUUUUCCUUUUCCAAUCUUCACUUUGUUUUGUGUUUUGAGCACUAUGCAUACAUUAUUUGGUAAUAAAAAGAGGAUAAGGAAAUGUCAUAUUUGUCUACAUUCAGUUUAAUAAAUGUAUUUGUCACUAAAUAGUAAAUAAAGAGUAUAAUUUAUUGUCUUUGUUAAGAUAAAUUAUAAAAAUCUGUAACUUCUCUAAAUAGAAAUCAAUUACCGUACCUAUUCACACAAAUUCAAGCACUCCUGUGCACUAGUCAUCUUGAAGAGACAUAUGCAGUACAUUUUACAUUAAUCUAUUAUGAUAACACUUUUAAUAAUAUUAGGCACACUAUAUUAAACUUUUACAAUUGCAAAAAAAAGAAUUUUAAAUGCUGUUAUAAUGAAUAUAUGUUUAUAAGAAUUUAUAUGAAGAAAAA